AUUGAACGCUGGCGGCAGGCCUAACACAUGCAAGUCGAGCGGAGCGGCAGAGGGGGGAGUGAUGCCUAGGACUCUGCAUGGUAGUGGGGGAUAACGUCCGGAAACGGGCGCUAAUACCGCAUCCUAUCAGCUGAACCUAGGUGGGAUUAGCUAGUGGGGGGGGUAAGGGCCAACCAAGGCGACGAUCCGUAACUGGUCUGAGAGGAUGAUCAGUCACACUGGAACUGAGACACGGUCCAGACGCCUACGGGAGGCAGCAGUGGGGAAUAUUGGACAAUGGGCGAAAGCCUGAUGCAGCCAUGCCGCGUGUGUGAAGAAGGUCUUCGGAUUGUAAAGCACUUUAAGUUGGGAGGCGUUACCAACAGAAUAAGCACCGGCUAACUUCGUGCCAGCAGCCGCGGUAAUUC
rnacentral:rRNA from 1 species